GUGUCUUAAGUGAUCUUUUGGGGGAAUUAUAUGAUGCUGAUGUAAUACCGCAGGACUCGUUUAUUAAAUGGCGAGACUCAAAAGAACAAUCGGCUGGCAAAGGCGUUGCUGUGAAAGGACUUAAUCCCUUUUUUAACCAUGUACUUACCAGCGAAACUAGUGAC